rnacentral:rRNA from 1 species
UACGGGAGGCAGCAGUGGGGAAUAUUGCACAAUGGGCGAAAGCCUGAUGCAGCUAUGCCGCGUGUAUGAAGAAGGCCUUAGGGUUGUAAAGUACUUUCAUCGGGGAGGAAAAACAAAACUAAUAAUUUUAUUUCUUGACGUUACCCGAAAAAGAAGCACCGGCUAACUCCGUGCCAGCAGCCGCGGUAAUACGGAGGGUGCUAGCGUUAAUCAGAAUUACUGGGCGUAAAAGAGCACGUAGGUGGUUUUUUUAAGUCAGAUGUGAAAUCCCUGGGCUUAACCUAGGAACUGCAUUUUGAAACUGAAAUACUAGAGUAUCGUAGAGGGAGGUAGAAAUUCUAGGUGUAGCGGUGAAAUGCGUAGAUAUCUGGAGGAAUACCUGUGGCGAAAGCGGCCUCCUAAAAACGAAUAACUGACACUGAGGUGCGAAAAGCGUGGGGAGCAAAACAGGGAUUAGAUACC